rnacentral:sRNA from 1 species
CAUCUAGUAAAGAGGAAAACAUAGAAGAAGAAAGAAGACUUUUUUAUGUUGGUAUAACAAGAGCCAUAGACAAUCUUUAUUUAUUUGCACCUAAAAA